rnacentral:SRP_RNA from 1 species
AUAAUGAUAAGGCAGGCAAGUGUUGGCUCUCGAACUGGGUCAGGACAGGAAUGUAGCAGCUCUAAGGUUGUUCAAUACUGUGCUUGUGUACAUAUUUGACCGC